GGGGCCUGACUGCUGAGCGGACGCAGGAAAGUGCUGCUCCUGCUCUUCCAGGCAAACUUUGCCGACUAUAAGCCACAAAGAUGCCUUAAAAACCACAAGUGGGCCACUAACCGUGAGGUGACAUCAAGGGGCACAUAAUGGCACCAAACAAGCAGCCUACCCUGCAGGAAUCACUGAUGCGACACUCAAGGCCUACACACGUGAAUGGCACGGGGGAGGCAGCUGCUGCCCACAAAGGCUACAAUCUUGAACAAGGGCCCCCGUUUCCCUCCCUAUGGACAGAUGGGGGUUAUUUCGGUCCCAGGGGAGCCCCACCGAGCUGACUGGCAACGACCUCAGGCAAAACUCGCUGACUACAGAAUGGCGGAGACCGCCAUCAGGCAGAGUGACUUCACUCUAGGGCUCGACUUCCAAGCACGGCUGCAUGUCAUAUUCGCAGCAUUCUGGUGGAAAAUGGAACAGAGAGAACGGCAGGCACGUACACAGACCCCAGAUGGGUGCUCAUCCGUAACACUGCCCUCUUGCUCUAACCUGAGAGGCUCACAUGCCCCGACGAAGCAGACCUAUAGACAGCGCCAUACACGACGACGAUACUCACCUGCUAGCAAACGCACGGGCCCAUGCAAAGAAGCGACUGUUACCCGACUACACAAAGCGAAAUCCCGGUCCAGCGUACAGCCACCGCCAUACAUGGGAACCCGUAAAAAUCUACACUUCUACUCACGUUGGUUUGCAAAGACAGUGAUGGGGUCCCAUCGGGCCCCGCCGGACAGGACCAACUCCAAACAUCCUCAGACAUACCCUCAAGCCAACGAGCAGACAGGUGUGAUACCGGAACUCCCUACAGAGCCCCCUCGGGGCAUUGGCUGAACUUAGCAUAAACUAUGCUCUUACUAUAUUUCUAGUUACUUCUCAGCAUUCGAUAUUUCUGUUAUUUCUACACGUUGUGGGACUCAAGACUGUUUAAAAGGGUCUAGGGCCCAGGAUAUCCUAUCAGACAAGCCCCCCAUAGUCAUAUUGAAGACAGACUGUAAGCCAUCUAAGCGGACUGCAUAUUCCACCCCAUAACUGCUCACACUUACCUAUAACUUGACCACCAACGUGUAGGGGGGCUUCCCUGAUAACACCAAUAUUGUUAACCAGGUUAUUCAUCCUGCAAUUUAGCAUAAACUAAACUACUGUACCUUAUACAUUAAUAAUCCAUAGUACUUGUCAGUUCAAACGGCAUGUCAUGUUAUAUAUUACUUUAGACCAGGGGUAGGCAACCUUUUAACAACACUGUGCCGAAAUAGGAUUGUGAUAUUCCGUAGCGUGCUGGUCCUAUUUUUUUUUAAAUUGAGGUGUGUAUGUUGCCAUAUUCUGCUUGUUACUUAUACUGCAGUUGCUUUGUAUUGUUGUAUUUGUGCAUAUAUGAGCGAUUACAUUGUAUAUGUUCAUGAGUAGAAAAGGAACAGAGUGUAUAGGGUGUUGAAAUUAUUCAACUCCCCAAACUCUGUAGAGGUUACAAG